UACGUAGGGUGCGAGCGUUGUCCGGAAUUAUUGGGCGUAAAGAGCUCGUAGGCGGUGUGUCGCGUCGGCCGUGAAAACCUGCAGCUUAACUGUGGGCUUGCGGUCGAUACGGGCAUCACUGGAGUUCGGCAGGGGAGACUGGAAUUCCUGGUGUAGCGGUGAAAUGCGCAGAUAUCAGGAGGAACACCGGUGGCGAAGGCGGGUCUCUGGGCCGAUGACUGACGCU
rnacentral:rRNA from 1 species